AUGAUGUGUGCAGAGGGUCCCUGGUUUGCGCACGGGUAUGGGCGAGGGGACGGUCUAAAGUUAUACUGUUACAGUUGCAGUAGUAGCAGUAGGAUAGGUAGGAUAAGUAGUAGAAGUAGAAUAAGUAGUAGAGGUAGGAGAAGUAGUCAGGGUAGGAUCAGUCGGAGCAGUAGUAUAAGUAGGAGAAGUAGGAUCAGUAGGAUCAGUAGUUGCAGUAGCAGCAGUAGGAUCAGUAGUAGAAGUAGGAUCAGUAAUAGCAGUAGUAGAAGUAGGAUCAGCAGCAGCAGUAGGAUCAGUAGUAGAAGUAGGAUCAGUAACAGCAGUAGUAGAGGUAGUAGAAGUAGGAGAAGUAGGAUCAGUAGUAGCGAUAGUAGCGGUAGGAUCAGUAAUAGCAGUAGUAGAGGUAUGAUCAGUAGUAGCAGUAGGAGCAGUAAUAGCAGUAGGACCAGUAGAGGCAGUAGUAGCGUUAGGAGCAGUAGUAGCAGUAGAGGCAGUAGUAGCAUUAGGAGCAGUAGUAGCAGUAGUAGCAGUAGGAGAAGUAGGAGCAAUAGUAUCAUUAGGAGCAGUAGUAGCAUUAGGAGCAGUAGUAGCAGUAGAGGCAGUAGCAGCAGGCGGAGCAGUAGUAGCAUUAGGAGCAGUAGUAGCAGUAGAGGCAGUAGUAGCAGGCGGAGCAGUAAUAGCAGUAGUAGCAUUAGGAGCAGUAGUAGCAGUAGUAGCAGGUGGAGCAGUAGUAGCAGUAGUAGCAGCAGUAGCAGUAGUAGCAGUAGUAGGAGUAGGGUCAGUAGUAUAAGUAGGAGAAGUAGUAUCAAUAGGAUCAGUAGUUGCAGUAGAAACAGUAGAAGCAGCAGUAGCAGUAGGAUCAGUAGCAGCAGUAGGAUCAGUAGUAGAAGUAGGAUCAGUAAUAGCAGUAGUAGAGGUAGUAGAAGUAGGAUCAGUAGUAGAAGUAGGAUCAGUAGUAGAAGUAGGAUCAGUAGUAGCGAUAGUAGCGGUAGGAUCAGUAAUAGCAGUAGUAGAGGUAUGAUCACUAGUAGCAGUAGUAGCAGUAGUAGCAGUAGUAGCAGUAGUAGCAUUAGGUGCAGUAGUAGAAGUAGUAGCAGUAGUAGCAUUAGGAGCAGUAGUAGCAGGAGUAGCAGUAGUAGCAGUAGGAGCAGUAGUAGGAGUAGGAGCAGUAGUAUAAGUAGGAGAAGUAGGAUCAAUAGGAUCAGUAGUUGCAGUAGGAGCAGUAGUAACAGGCGGAGCAGUAGUAGCAGUAGUAGAAGUAGGAUCAGUAAUAGCAGUAGUAGAGGUAGUAGAAGUAGGAUCAGUAGUAGAAGUAGGAUCAGUAGUAGCGAUAGUAGCGGUAGGAUCAGUAAUAGCAGUAGUAGAAGUAUGAUCAGUAGUAGCAGUAGUAGCAGUAGGAGCAGUAGUAGCAGUAGAGGCAGUAGAAGCAUUAGGAGCAGUAGUAGCAGUAGAGGCAGUAGUAGCAGUAGUAGCAGUAGAAGCAGUAGGAGCAGUAGGAGCAGUAGGAGCAGUAGUAGGAGCAGUGGGAACAUUAGUAGCAGUAGUAGCAGUAGGAGCAGUAGUAGCAGUAGGAGCAGUAGGAGCAGUAGUAGCAGUAGUUGCAGUAGUAGCAGGCGGAGCAGUAGUAGCAGUAGUAGUAGUAGGAGCAGUAGGAGCAGUAGUAACAGGCGGAGCAGUAGUAGCAGGCGGAGCAGUAAUAGCAUUAGAGGCAGUAGUAGCAGUAGUAGUAGUAGGAGCAGUAGGAGCAGUCGUAGCAUUCGGUAG
rnacentral:lncRNA from 1 species